rnacentral:rRNA from 1 species
CCUACGGGUGGCUGCAGUAAGGAAUAUUGCGCAAUGGGCGACAGCCUGACGCAGCGACGCCGCGUGGGGGAUGAAGGUCUUCGGAUUGUAAACCCCUUUCGGCAGGGAAGAUGGAACGGGUAACCGUUCGGACGGUACCUGCAGAAGCAGCCACGGCUAACUUCGUGCCAGCAGCCGCGGUAAUACGAAGGUGGCAAGCGUUGUUCGGAUUUACUGGGCGUGCGGGGAGCGGGUUCGGUUGGGUAACCGCGAAAUGUCCGGGCCUAACCCGGAAAGUGCGGAGGGGACUGCUCGGCUAGAGGAUGGGAGAGGAGCGCGGAAUUCCCGGUGUAGCGGUGAAAUGCGUAGAGAUCGGGAGGAAGGCCGGUGGCGAAGGCGGCGCUCUGGAACAUUUCUGACGCUGAGGCUCGAAAGCGUGGGGAGCAAACAGGAUUAGAUACCCCAAUAGUC